rnacentral:lncRNA from 1 species
GUCCCGAGUCCGGCUGGCGACCUGGCGGAGAGUGGGAAGGAGGAGCUGGCGAGCCUGAGGAGCAGGCCGGGCAUCCUAGGCCUGCCCGGGAAGCCGGCCGGGCCGAGCCGUGGGCAGUCAGGCCUCGGCCUGCCGUUGCCAUGGAGCCGGGGCGGGGCGGGGGCCAGACCGGUCCGCCGGGGCGGGCCUCGCUGCUAGGGGCUCCGCGGAGGCAGAGAGAGGCGGCUUCAUUGGCUCGACGACGCCUUCGCCUCAGGGGAUGCUCGGUUUUCCCCUGGCUGGGCCCGGAGGAAGUCUCUCGAGUGCCCGAGACCUUUGUCUGCCCCUCCUCCCACUGUGCGGUCAGGACCGUUCCUCCGAAGGGAGGCCUGGUGCAUUUUUUACUCUUCUGGUUUGCCUCCUUUUGCACCGACCUUGUCAGUGGGGGAGUCUAAGGGGUGAGGUGUUCUUUGUUUGCUAGUGACUUGUCCCAUUUUGCAGGGGAAGACCUAAUGCAUGGUGGGUCCUUUGUUUGCAGUGAAGUGGAAUCCCAGGGGUCCCGAGAACCCUCAAGCCAAGAGUACUGCAUCUAUGGGCUUUCUAGAUAGUCCUUGUGAGGCCCAGCCUCGUGAUGAGGAAUAGCAAGGAGAGAAUUCAGCUCCAGUUCGAAAGCCUGCAAAAUCUGAGCCCCUCACUGCUUUUAUAAGGAUUCCAGCUUUCUCUCCUGGCCAGAAAUGUUCACCCUGGACUCAUUCAGAAAAG